CCUACGGGUGGCUGCAGUGGGGAAUAUUGGACAAUGGGCGAAAGCCUGAUCCAGCCAUGCCGCGUGUGUGAAGAAGGCCUUCGGGUUGUAAAGCACUUUCAGUGGGGAAGAAAGCCUUGGGGCUAAUACCCUCGAGGAAGGACAUCACCCACAGAAGAAGCACCGGCUAACUCCGUGCCAGCAGCCGCGGUAAUACGGAGGGUGCGAGCGUUAAUCGGAAUUACUGGGCGUAAAGCGCGCGUAGGCGGUCUGAUAAGCCGGUUGUGAAAGCCCCGGGCUCAACCUGGGAACGGCAUCCGGAACUGUCAGGCUAGGGUGCAGGAGAGGAAGGUAGAAUUCCCGGUGUAGCGGUGAAAUGCGUAGAGAUCGGGAGGAAUACCAGUGGCGAAGGCGGCCUUCUGGACUGACACUGACGCUGAGGUGCGAAAGCGUGGGUAGCAAACAGGAUUAGAUACCCGUGUAGUC
rnacentral:rRNA from 1 species